rnacentral:rRNA from 1 species
CAUCUUUAAGGUUUAAAGGGUACCUAGACGGAAAAUCAAGCCAUAAUAGGGACUAAUUUUCUAGAGUUUUAUGAGAGAAGAUAGAAUUUUCGGAGGAGAGAUAAAAUUCGUUGAUACUGGAGAGACUGGCAACGGCGAAGGCGACCUUCUAUGUAAAAACUGACGUUGAGGGACGAAGCCAAGGGUAACGAGAAGGAUUCGACACCCUAGUAGUCCUUGGAGACAAUUAUGAAUGUCAUAGGCUAGAUAAAUUUAGUCUAUAAAUGAAAGUGUAAGCAUUCCACCUCAUGAGUAAAGCGGCAACGCCCAAAUUGAAAUCAUUAGACCGUAUCUGAGAUCAGUAGUGAAGUAUGUUAUUUAAUUCGAUGAUCCGCGAAUAACCUUACCACGCAUUGAAUAUUAUUUAAUUAUUACAAGUGUUGCACGGCUGUUUUUAGUUAAUGUCGUGAGAUUAUGGUUAACACCUAUAAUUAACGCAAACCCUUGCUUUAUUUAUUUUUAUAAAGUAGUUCUCCAUUUAUAUUGGAUAGAUAAAAGGGACUAAGACAAGUCAUCAUGGCCUUAAUA